CCCUGCCUUUUGUACACACCGCCCGUCGCUCCUACCGAUUUCGAGUGAUCCGGUGAACCUUUUUGACUGCGCGUAACCCAUACUCAUUUGUGCGGAAAAUCAAGUAAACCAUAUCCCCUAGAAGAAGGAAGGAGGUCGUAACAAGGUUUCCG
rnacentral:rRNA from 1 species